rnacentral:rRNA from 1 species
ACACGUAGGGGGCAAGCGUUGUCCGGAAUUAUUGGGCGUAAAGGGCGUGUAGGCGGUUAAUUAAGUCAGGUGUGAAAACCCGGGGCUCAACCCCGUGAUUGCACCUGAAACUGGUUAACUUGAGGGCAAGAGAGGGAAGCGGAAUUCCUAGUGUAGCGGUGAAAUGCGUAGAUAUUAGGAGGAACACCAGUGGCGAAGGCGGCUUUCUGGCUUGACCCUGACGCUGAGGCGCGAAAGCGUGGGGAGCAAACAGGAUUAGAUACCCUGGCAGUCCACGCCGUAAACGAUGGGUACUAGGUGUAGGAGGUAUCGACCCCUUCUGUGCCGCAGCAAACGCAUUAAGUACCCCGCCUGGGGAGUACGUUCGCAAGAAUGAA